rnacentral:rRNA from 1 species
AGAGUUUGAUCCUGGCUCAGGAUUAAAGUUGGCGGCGUGCCUAAGGUAUGCAAGUCGAGCGAUUUUUAUUGAUCCGUAAGGUGAUAUAAAAGUAGCGGCGAACGGCUGAGUAACACAUGGGAAUCUCCCUUGAAGUCGAGGAUAGCCCACCGAAAGGUGGAGUAAUCCUGGAUGUGAUCUGCGGAUUAAAGUCGAAAGACGCUUCAAGAUGAGCCUGUGUCCUAUCAGGUAGUUGGCGGGGUAAAUGCCCACCAAGCCUAUGACGGGUAGCUGGUCUGAGAGGAUGACCAGCCAGAAUGGGACUGAGACACGGCCCAUACUCCUACGGGAGGCAGCAAUCAGGAAUUUUCCGCAAUGGACGAAAGUCUGACGGAGCGACGCCGCGUGAAGGAUGAAGGCCCUCGGGUUGUAAACUUCUUUUAUAGGGGAAUAAGUUCUGAAUGUACUCUAUGAAUAAGGUGCUGCAAACUACGUGCCAGAAGCAUCGGUGAUACGUAGGCACCAAACUUUAUCCGGAUUUACUGGGCGUAAAGAGAAGCGUAGGUGUCUGAGUAAGUUCUUCGUUAAAUCUACCGGCUUAACCGGUAAACUGCGGGGAAAACUAUUCAGAUUGAGUUAGCUAGGGGGAGACGGAAUUUCCAGUGUAGCAGUGAAAUGCGUUGAUAUUGGAAAGAACACCAAUGGCGAAGGCAGUCUCCUGGGGCUUAACUGACACUAAGGCUCGAAAGCGUGGGUAGCAAAACGGAUUAGAUACCCGUGUAGUCCACGCUGUAAACAAUCUCUGCUAGUUGUCGGGGUUUGUCUUGUUUUUUCUUCGGAACGGAUAAGAAGACUUCGGUGACGCAGCUAACGCGUUAAGCAGAGCGCCUGGGGAGUACGACCGCAAGGUUAAAACUCAAAGGAAUUGACGGGGACCCGC